UACGGGGGGGGCAAGCGUUGUUCGGAAUUACUGGGCGUAAAGGGCUCGUAGGCGGCCAACUAAGUCGGAUGUGAAAUCCCCAGGCUCAACUUGGGAACUGCAUCCGAUACUGGAUGGCUUGAAUUCGGGAGAGGGAUGCAGAAUUCCAGGUGUAGCGGUGAAAUGCGUAGAUAUCAAGAGGAAUACCUGAGGUGAAGACGGGUUGCUAGGCCGACACUGACGCUGAGUGCGCGAAAGCCAGGGGAGCAAACGGG
rnacentral:rRNA from 1 species